UACAGAGGGUGCGAGCGUUAAUCGGAAUUACUGGGCGUAAAGCGCACGUAGUCGGCUUUGCAAGUCGGGUGUGAAAUCCCCGGGCUCAACCUGGGAACUGCAUCCGAGACUGCAUUGCUAGAGUAUGGGAGAGGGAAGCGGAAUUUCUGGUGUAGCAGUGAAAUGCGCAGAUAUCAGGAGGAACACCGGUGGCGAAGGCGGGUCUCUGGGCCGAUACUGACGCUGAGGAGCGAAAGCGUGGGGAGCAAACAGG
rnacentral:rRNA from 1 species